rnacentral:rRNA from 1 species
AAGCAGAGGGGGCUUAGUGGUGGGGUGACUGCGUACCUUUUGUAUAAUGGGUCAGCGACUUAUAUUCUGUAGCAAGGUUAACCGAAUAGGGGAGCCGGAGGGAAACCGAGUCUUAACCGGGCGUUAAGUUGCAGGGUAUAGACCCGAAACCCGGUGAUCUAGCCAUGGGCAGGUUGAAGGUUGGGUAACACUAACUGGAGGACCGAACCGACUAAUGUUGAAAAAUUAGCGGAUGACCUGUGGCUGGGGGUGAAAGGCCAAUCAAACCGGGAGAUAGCUGGUUCUCCCCGAAAGCUAUUUAGGUAGCGCCUCGUGAAUUCAUCUCCGGGGGUAGAGCACUGUUUCGGCUAGGGGGUCAUCCCGACUUACCAACCCGAUGCAAACUGCGAAUACCGGAGAAUGUUAUCACGGGAGACACACGGCGGGUGCUAACGUCCGUCGUGAAGAGGGAAACAACCCAGACCGCCAGCUAAGGUCCCAAAGUCAUGGUUAAGUGGGAAACGAUGUGGGAAGGCCCAGACAGCCAGGAUGUUGGCUUAGAAGCAGCCAUCAUUUAAAGAAAGCGUAAUAGCUCACUGGUCGAGUCGGCCUGCGCGGAAGAUGUAACGGGGCUAAACCAUGCACCGAAGCUGCGGCAGCGACACUAUGUGUUGUUGGGUAGGGGAGCGUUCUGUAAGCCUGCGAAGGUGUCUCGUGAGGGAUGCUGGAGGUAUCAGAAGUGCGAAUGCUGACAUAAGUAACGAUAAUGCGGGUGAAAAACCCGCACGCCGGAAGACCAAGGGUUCCUGUCCAACGUUAAUCGGGGCAGGGUGAGUCGACCCCUAAGGCGAGGCCGAAAGGCGUAGUCGAUGGGAAACAGGUUAAUAUUCCUGUACUUGGUGUUACUGCGAAGGGGGGACGGAGAAGGCUAUGUUGGCCGGGCGACGGUUGUCCCGGUUUAAGCGUGUAGGUGUGUGUUCCAGGUAAAUCCGGUUCACUUUAACACUGAGGCGUGAUGACGAGGCACUACGGUGCUGAAGCAACAAAUGCCCUGCUUCCAGG